CCUACGGGUGGCAGCAGUGGGGAAUAUUGCACAAUGGGGGAAACCCUGAUGCAGCGACGCCGCGUGAGUGAAGAAGUAUUUCGGUAUGUAAAGCUCUAUCAGCAGGGAAGAAAUAGCGACCUUUGGGUCGCCAGACGGUACCUGAUUAAGAAGCCCCGGCUAACUACGGGCCAGCAGCCGCGGUAAUACGUAGGGGGCAAGCGUUAUCCGGAGUUAAUGGGUGUAAAGGGAGCGUAGACGGCAGCGCAAGUCUGAAGUGAAAAGCCGGGGCUUAACCCCGGAACUGCUGUGGAAACUGUGCAGCUAGAGUGCAGGAGAGGUAAGUGGAAUUCCUAGUGUAGCGGUGAAAUGCGUAGAUAUUAGGAUGAACACCAGUGGCGAAGGCAGCUUACUGGACUGUAACUGACGUUGAGGCUCGAAAGCGUGGGGAGCAAACAGGAUUAGAUACCCCGGUAGUC
rnacentral:rRNA from 1 species